rnacentral:rRNA from 1 species
GAUGAACGCUGGCUACAGGCUUAACACAUGCAAGUCGAGGGACCGGCGCACGGGUGAGUAACGCGUAUCCAACCUUCCCGUUACUGCGGGAUAACCUGCCGAAAGGCAGACUAAUACCGCAUGGUAACGGAGGGGGAUGCGUCUGAUUAGCUAGUUGGCGGGGCGACGGCCCACCAAGGCGACGAUCAGUAGGGGUUCUGAGAGGAGGGUCCCCCGCACUGGAACUGAGACACGGUCCAGACUCCUACGGGAGGCAGCAGUGGGGAAUAUUGCACAAUGGGCGCAAGCCUGAUGCAGCCAUGCCGCGUGUAUGAAGAAGGUUUCGGAUUGUAAAGCACUUUAAGUUGGGAGGCGUUACCAACAGAAUAAGCACCGGCUAACUUCGUGCCAGCAGCCGCGGUAAUUC